GACGAACGCUGGCGGCGUGCCUAAUACAUGCAAGUCGAACGCAGUGGGGACGGGUGAGUAACACGUGGGUAACCUCCCAUCAGAGGGGAUAACACUUGGAAACAGGUGCUAAACCGAUACUGGUGGAGGGACCCGCUGUGCAUUAGCUAGUUGGUGGGGUAACGGCUUACCAAGGCCACGAUGCAUAGCCGACCUGAGAGGGGGAUCGGCCACACUGGGACGGAGACACGGCCCAGACUCCUACGGGAGGCAGCAGUAGGGAAUCUUCGGCAAUGGACGAAAGUCUGACCGAGCAAUGCCGCGUGAGUGAAGAAGGUUUUCGGAUCGUAAAGCUCUGUUGUUAGAGAAGCGUUAUCUAACCAGAAAGCAACGGCUAACUACGUGCCAGCAGCCGCGGUAAUUC
rnacentral:rRNA from 1 species